ensembl:lncRNA
CAGUCAUAACGGCCCAAAUGUGACCCUGUCUGGCUGUGGAAAGUGCAUUGAGCUGAACAUUUCUAUGCCUAAAGUCCAGGGACGAUCUAGAUCCCGGGACAUGACAAAGAUUUAUAAUUUAUCUUACAAUGUUUCAUGGAGGAGGAGGCCGGAGCUCAAGGCAGUGGACUACAUACUGACUAAAACCCAGACUGUUAUCAUCCCAGACCUGCUCUCGGGCACAGAGUACUGUGUUCAGGUCAAGCCCAAAUAUUUGGAAGUAACCUUCCUGCCAUCACCGUGGAAAUGUGUCUUCACCAGCAUAGUGCCGCCAUCACAAGUGCUGGCAGUGGUGGGCUCAGUGGCAGGUCUGGUGGUUCUCAGCCUCUCUGCUCUGGUCCUGGUCUUCUUCGCUCUACAUUACACAGGGAUCAUAUGCAAACUCAAAGAAGCCCUGCCACACCCUCUCAGUACAGGUGUAUGGCAGCGCUCCCUUCUGAGGCUGGAGAGGACGGUCCCAGAGCCAGUGUCGCUCCUGCCAGGGACCGGGAAACGGCAGCACAGUAACUGGGACCAGGACGAGGACGAGGAGGACCAGGGGACACAGCAGGUCCACCCGACGGAGGCUCAGGAGGAGGACCAGUACAUGAACCGAUGCGGGGAUCUAUCCUCAGACUACAGCUCCAGGAGUGGGAACAUGACUUCAAGUUGUCAAUCAGCAGCAACAGUCAGUGAUCAUCCCCAAAGUCAGGAUGAGAGUAUCGAAGGGAACAAAGAAGAACAAGCACAAAGUAUGAACAUUGAAGACUGGGUGGAAAAGAAGAGAUUCAAGACUGCAAAGAUACAGACGAUUGGCACAAGUUGGAGAACUUUGAAAGUGUGGACCUUUUUUCAGUCACCAUUGCAGCUCUGGACGUCCAGUCAGACCAAGUCCUCCAACACACACCCUAUGAGUCUGACCAGGAGCAGUCUGACGACCAGCCCUCCGGCGCUCGCCCUACGAGUCUGACGUCCAGCCCCUCCGGCACUCGCCCUACGAGUCUGACGUCCAGCCCCUCCGCACCGCCCUACGAGUCGACGCACCGCCCCCCGGCCCGCCCUACGAGUCUGACGUCCAGCCCCCGCCGCCCUACGAGUCUGCCCCCCCCCCCCCCCACGACCGCCCCCCCCCCCCCCCCCCCCCCCCCCCCCCCCCCACGAUCUGACGCCAGUCCAGCCCCUCCGGCGCUCGCCCUACGAGUCUGACGUCCAGCCCCUCCGGCGCACGCCCUACGAGUCUGACGUCCAGCCCCUCCGGCCCGCCCUACGAGUCUGACGUCCAGCCCCUCCGGCACACGCCCUACGAGUCUGACGCCAGCCCCUCCGGCACACGCCCUACGAGUCUGACGUCCAGCCCCUCCGGCGCUCGCCCUACGAGUCUGACGUCCAGCCCCUCCGGCACACGCCCUACGAGUCUGACGUCCAGCCCCUCCGGCACUCGCCCUACGAGUCUGACGUCCAGCCCCUCCGGCGCUCGCCCUACGAGUCUGACGUCCAGCCCCUCCGGCGCUCGCCCUACGAGUCUGACGUCCAGCCCCUCCGGCGCUCGCCC